CAUGACUAUGAACGUAUCACAUUCUUCAGGUAAGAACUCAUUUUCAAUGUGCGCUUGUCAACUCUUCACGCAUUCUCCUUCCCGAAGUACGAAGUUUCUUACGGUAAAAUGGUGAAGAACACGACUCUGAAUCCGUACUCCAACCAUCAAGAAAUGCGACAAACUCUCCAUAAUGCUCUACAAGCGAGCUCCGAUGCGAACGGAUUACAGCGCCGCUAACUCAACGUGAUUAAUGGCCUCCAAAUCCGAAAUUAGAUCCAACUGAUUCGAAGUUUUUUUAUUUCAUUUUCAUGCGUGCGUGGAAUUUAAAGAAGACGACACUUAUGUGAUGCCAGGAAACUUACCUAUUCGGCGUUUCAACGCGAAAGAUUCAGGUUCGACUCUUGUUUUUUGAUGCGCUUGUCGUCGCUUUCAUCCUUGCUUCAGUCAUCGUUGUCGAUGCGUUGCAUAUCACCACUGAAUUGAAGCGAGGCCGAUGAAUCGUUCUGAGCAAGUGUGAGGAGAAGCGAGGAUGAUGAUGGCCGGUUGGAUUUCGCGGCUAGGUUACCCCUUUCCUUGUCGCUGCCUCCAUCUUCUUCUUCCUUCUUCUAGCUAUUUUCGAAUUUUUCUUCUUCUGUUUUUCGUUUCCGCUUUCUGUUAUGCUCCUCUUCUGUUGAGGUUCUGUUAUGGUGAAUUUGUGGUUGUUAUGGUUUUUGAGAGGGAGGGUGAGGUUAUGGAGGAUGGAGAGUGAAGUUCGGUGAUGGUUGAGAAGAUGAGUUGAGGGAGGAAGAGGUGAAGUGAGGGUGAAGCCGUGAAUGGUUUGUGUUAUGGCGGCUUUUAUGGAGGUUGCUAGUUUUUUCAAGGUUGGUGAUUGAAGGUUGGUUCAGGAGGUUCAUUUUCUUGUGAGGAUGGAGUUUUUGGUUGUUGCAGGGCUUUGUGUUUGUUGAUUGAUGGUUGCCAGAGAAGGUUCCAAAUUUGGUUAGGGGGAUUUAUAGGAAGUUAUUCUGUUAGAAGUUGGAUUCCAUUCUGUUAUGAGUUGAAAAGGUUUGAGGGAAUUCCUCUUACAAUUAGGGAGUUGUGAAGUUUGUUAAUGGGAGUGGAGUUUGUUAGAAAUUGUUAUGAGUUCUUGGAAUGGUUUCUUUUAGUUGGUUUUCGAGGGAGUUCGGUUUUGCUGUGUUGGUGGGAGGGUUCGAAACCUUUUGUGAUAAAAGGUCCCGUCGAAAACCAUUAUGGAAGUUGGAGGUUAUAGUUAUAGUUAGAAGCUUAUAGAAAACAGUUAGGUGGUUGGCAAAACCGUUAGGAAGUUGGUUGGUUUAGAAUUCAGAAAUUCUGUUUAGUGAAGCAUUAUGAGAUGCUGAUAAUUUUGGUUAAAUGAAUUUAUGUGGAACUCAUUAUGCUUCAGUUAGAUGUAUAUGUUAGUUAAAUGGAUUGUUCUAUGCUUGAACUGAAUGAGUUCAAUGAAUUAGUAUAUGAUGCUUGAAUAUUGGCUUUUGUAACUGAGUUUAAAACCAGUUAGAAAUUAACUUCUAUUGUGAUGUUAGUGAAUCAUGAAUCUACUUGAAUUAGCACUAUUGGAAUGUGAAUGGAAUGCCAAUUGCAUGAAACUUGCUAAUGAAUGAAUUAUUAUAUUGUACUGAAAAUUAACAAUGAUUCGCUUCUAGGUGAUGUUAGUAGAUUAGGAAUUUGACAUGAAUGAUAUGCGAAUGUUUCGGUUAUGGACUGAGUUGAAAAGUUCUGAAUUUGCAGGCAUGCUUGUGGCGCUUUCUUGGCUUGGGGUUUUGGAAUGCAUUUGGACUUAUGGUUUUCAUUGACCAUUGGAAUCGAUUUAAGCUGCUAGGAUAUGGCUUGUAUGCUAACUAGGUGGAAUUGGAAAGCUUGGAAUGUAAAUGGCCCAUGGGGAAAAUGAACUCGGGUUUGUUUAUGUAAAUUUUUGUAAUUAUUGUAUCGGUUUGAGUUAAUGGUUGUAAUUGGAUUGGAGAUUGUAUGUGGUAAUUUUGGAUAUUUUAUAAUGAUUUAUGUUAUGAAUUUGAAAUUAUUGUAAUGUUUACUGUUGUAAUGAAAUGUGAUGGUAAUAGUAUGUUUGGUUUAACGUUGAAUUUUAAAAAAUCACGGUAGCUUUUCACGUUUACACAGAAGCUACCUUUUGGAGCUUCUAGAAAAUCACGGCAGAGUGGCAUUUGACCGUGAGUUUGAUUGGUGAAAAACUAAACCAAACAUGCUAGUAAUCUCGAAUUGUAUGUAAUGGUCAAUUGGAAUUUGGUUUAUGAAUGGUUUUUGUGUUGAAAAUUGAAUGUUGGAUUUGUAAUGGUAUGAAUGGUUUUGGAAUGAAAUUUUUUGUAAUUUUGAAUUACUGGGUUUGUGAAUGGAAAUUGCAAGUGAAUGAUGGUUGAACUUGUAAUGUUGAAAUUGGAAUUGGUUUGAAAUUGUAUU
rnacentral:lncRNA from 1 species